rnacentral:rRNA from 1 species
UACGGGGGGGGCAAGCGUUGUUCGGAAUUACUGGGCGUAAAGGGCUCGUAGGUGGCCAACUAAGUCAGACGUGAAAUCCCCAGGCUCAACUUGGGAACUGCGUCUGAUACGGGAUGGCUUGAAUUCGGGAGAGGGAUGCAGAAUUCCAGGUGUAGCGGUGAAAUGCGUAGAUAUCUGGAGGAAUACCGGUGGCGAAGGCGGCAUCCUGGACCGAGAUUGACACUGAUGAGCGAAAGCCAGGGGAGCAAACGGG